rnacentral:rRNA from 1 species
GUAGGGUGCGAGCGUUAAUCGGAAUUACUGGGCGUAAAGCGUGCGCAGGCGGCUUUGCAAGACAGAUGAGAAAUCCCCGGGCUCAACCUGGGAACUGCAUUUGUGACUGCAAGGCUAGAGUACGGCAGAGGGGGAUGGAAUUCCGCGUGUAGCAGUGAAAUGCGUAGAUAUGCGGAGGAACACCGAUGGCGAAGGCAAUCCCCUGGGCCUGUACUGACGCUCAUGCACGAAAGCGUGGGGAGCAAACAGGAUUAGAUACCCUGGUAGUCCCACGCCCUAAACGAUGUCAACUGGUUGUUGGACGGCUUGCUGUUCAGUAACGAAGCUAACGCGUGAAGUUGACCGCCUGGGGAGUACGGCCGCAAGGUUG